GGAGGGAGAGGGGCAGGGCAGGGAGAGGGACGGGGGGAGAGGUGGAUAGGUAGGUAGAUAGCGGAGGCGGGGGCCGCGCGUGACGUACCGAGGCGGUGUGUGUGGAGGCGCGCGCGGCACGUGGGCACGACGGAGGAGGUGCGUGGCGAGGUAUUCAUAGAGGCGGAGGCGAACGGAACGGCACGAAAGGUUGCUGGUGGUAUAUAUAACACGAAUGCAUAUAGUAUACCAUAUCGAAUAACGUGGAUGAUGAUGUGCAGAUGUGUGUAUAUCGAUCGAGUGGAGGCAAGACGAGACGGCCGGGUUAGGGCCCUGCUGUGUCGUUCGGUGGCCAGGAAGAAAGGCCCAUAUAUAUAUCGAAGCGUAACCUCCACCGCCCCGCACUACUUAUUGGUCACGCACGGCUCGACCCUAGACCUGCUCUGCCAACCGCGCCCCGAGUUGGGCCACAGGUGGUCCAGCCGCGUCGCAUACCGCAGACCUCUGUCGCCAGACUGCCCCGGCCAACGGUACGGGUACGGCCUGGUCAUGCUGCUCCACCGCCUCGACUGCACCCUCUUCCCGUUGUAGAAGACCGUCCCCGACGAGUUGGCCAGCCACGGGUUCAUGGGCCGGCGCGGCCGCGGCCGCGUCUACGUACGGUAGCCGCCGCGCCCACUAGUGGCCCUCUGCGAGCUCCGUCACCACCCGCUCCGCCGGCGAGCAAACAGCAGAGUCAGCUGCAGCGUGGAGCCCGUCGGCAACGGACGUCGACAGCGCGGAACCGAGCCACACCCGCGCGGUCGGCUGCCCGAGCACGGCACGCGCUCCCCACUGCUGGUCCGCCUCCCCCCGCACGCCUCCUUCGCCCGUGCCGUCCAGCCGCUCCUGCCCGCGCACACGCGGUCGGUUCCAUCGCGGCGCGGGCCGGCGCCGCUCUCGAGCGACGAGUGAGACCUCGGGACGCCGUGGCCGCGACUGCUGAACACGCCCAAGUGCUGCUGGUUGUUGAGGUGCAGCGACCUGGUGCCGAGGGGCCUCUGCCUCUUGUGCUCGAAGCCCCCUCCGCGUUCGCUGAGGGCGACGAAGUCGGCAGCCAGCGUCCGUUCGUUUCGAGACCCGAUUUUCGGAGUGUGCAAUGGUGUGUGUGGGACGUAUACGUACGGAGCUAGCAUUCGUAGAGCGUACGUGCAUCUCAUGCAGCUAGGUCGAACAGAACUAGGCAUACCCGAACGUCUAAGGGAUACGAAUACAAAAAAGAACGCAGAUAGAUUGGCCACGUACGCAGACAACUCUAUGUUUUCUCUCUGCCCGACACGCUGCUUCGUCUCUUGCAGCACUAGUUCCCCCCUCGAGGUUACUCCAGCAGGUAAAGGUGAUUCUCCUCGGCCCGACGACGGUAGGUAUUGCUUAGACUCGCAUUUUCUUCCCUGUCCUAGUUGGUCUUCUACGUCUGUAACGUUUUCGAGCAGGGGUUGAGUUCGUUCUGGCUGUUCCGUAGCUACGACCUGCUCCACUAGCUGGUGAACUUCGUCGACGUCCGUUGCCACGUCUACUACUUGGCCUACUCGUCGUACUACUACGGGUACCGGUACGGCGUCGAUCGGGUCUACAGGCAGUACCGGUUGUACCGGGUCUACCGGGUCUACCGCGUCUACCCGGACCCUUACUACUUGUACCGGCCCGGUGAGCGCGUCGGGCGGAUGGGCCCGGAGUGGGUCGGGUACUACGUCCGCAGGUGGGGAAAGCAGCGGUACGUCGGGACCUUGCGGCCGCGGCCGCGGCUGGCCGUCUUCGUCAGGCGGCGGCACGGCCUGCGGAUGAGGCGGAAGGAGCGGACGGUUCGCCGCGUCGUCUUGUGCGUCGUCGUUGUCGUUCGAGUUGGCUUGCCGUACCUCCGCAUGUCGUCCUACUACCGGUACAUGGUCUUCGAUUCGGUUGUCGUCUGGGCCGGCCCGUCGAGGUUUCUCACUAGCAUGAUGCAGCAUGUUCGUGGACAUGUCGUAAAGGGAAACCUGUACUUUUAGACGGCUGCGUGGUUCCGUGGAAUUCGUAGCACAUAAAAUGUGAGUUAACGUGUACUAAACAACAUGAAAGAAAAAACUUUGCCUACUAAACAACAUAAUUUUAGUAAGAUCGAACAUGCAUAUAGCAAAACUGUAGUAAAAUCGAACAUAUUCAGUGUCGGUUGACCAAUGGACUUCUACAAAAAACAUGACAGUCGGUUGACGAGUACUAAACCUUUAACCUGG
rnacentral:rRNA from 1 species